GCCGGGGUCGCCUAGCCAGGUAGGGCGCGGGUCUGCUAAGCCCGUGGGGGUUCCCCCGCGCGGGUUCAAAUCCCGCCCCCGGCGCCA
rnacentral:tRNA from 1 species